rnacentral:lncRNA from 1 species
UAUUUUACAAUUGUUAUAAUAAAAUAAACAACGAAGAUAUUGAAAAUGUUGAGCUUGAUAAUCAAAAAUAGCCUUUUUAAUUGUAUUUCUAGUAAAACCUUUAAAAUGUGGAUUAUACACAAUUUGAAUAUAAUGAAUAAAACCGGGAUUUUCAGCAAAACUAAAUGGCAAACCCAUAACAACAAUCAUUUUAGCUAAUUCUUCAAGAUCUUUUUCUCUACUAUAUGACCGUUGUAUACUAGAACCAGAAACAUUAGAAGGAUUUAAUUGUGUUUGGACCAUAUUAGAGCCCUCUACUCCUACAUUUUCAGGAAGGGUGGUACCAUUUUUUUUUAGCUUCGGCUACAGCUUUAGCAUGCAAAAAUUCAUUUUUACAACAUGACAUUAAAUGAUUACUCAAAUGUCCCGUCCCACCCUGUUUUCCUACAGUUUUAUGAUUCAUUAUAUGUUUACAUUUAUUACAAAUAGCUUGUGUUUUAUCUUCAUUCUGAGUCAUAAAUUGCCACACAACUGAUUUUUUAGCGCGUUCUACCUUAGUCCUAGGAUGCACGGGGGGAUUGGGAGCAGGACAACGAAAGGGAGCAGGAGUCGGGGAAGAGGGAUUGGGAGUGGGACUAGUAGCCGACGGUGGCUCAGUUUCAUCAUCAUCAUAUUCAUCAACAUUAUUAUCAAAACUAUCAACAUAAGCAUUAACAUCAUCAUGUUCAUCAUCUUCAGGUAAUUCCUCUUCAAAAUUACCAAAUCUUCUUUGUAAAUGUUCAUGAUAAGGAUCUAAUCCACUAUUACUAUCAAUAUUAAAAACAGUUUCAUCAACAUGCGUAUAAUCAUCUGUAUUUAUUCUUAAUUGAGAA